rnacentral:miRNA from 1 species
GAUGAGCUAAAGGCCUAUAC